UACAGAGGGGGCAAGCGUUGUUCGGAAUUACUGGGCGUAAAGGGCGCGUAGGCGGCCUGUUAAGUCGAACGUGAAAUCCCCGGGCUCAACCCGGGAACUGCGUCCGAUACUGGCAGGCUUGAAUCCGGGAGAGGGAUGCGGAAUUCCAGGUGUAGCGGUGAAAUGCGUAGAUAUCUGGAGGAACACCGGUGGCGAAGGCGGCAUCCUGGACCGGUAUUGACGCUGAGACGCGAAAGCGUGGGGAGCAAACAGG
rnacentral:rRNA from 1 species